rnacentral:rRNA from 1 species
GGAAUAGCUUGCUAUUUUGCUGACGAGUGGCGGACGGGUGAGUAAUGCUUGGGAAUAUGCCCUUCUCUAAGGAAUAGCCUCUGGAAACGGAGAGUAAUACCUUAUACGCCCUUUGGGGGAAAGAUUUAUCGGAGAAGGAUUAGCCCGCGUUAGAUUAGGUAGUUGGUGGGGUAAUGGCCUACCAAGCCUACGAUCUAUAGCUGGUUUGAGAGGAUGAUC